rnacentral:lncRNA from 1 species
UUGAUGAUAUGAUGCCAUGAUACUCAAUGACAUGAAACAAUUUUAUUAACUCAACACACAUCAUACACAACAUGAAGGUUCGCACAUGGAAAUAUUACAAAUAUGGCAAGGGGAUGAACUUGGCCUGUUACAAUCUAGCCGCCUGAGGAGGUCUUCCCUCCUGCCGAAGGAGGAGAGCAUCCGAAAGAGGUCUGCACAGAGGGGGAGGCAGGCACCAACAUGUCGGCCACCACAAGCCUCGACCGGUCGCCACAGCAUCCUAAGACGGAGGUUUCCACACCUAGACCUCCAGACACAACCAAGAUGUUAGUAGGAGUGGGAGUCGAAUUGGAUGUCGAGGAUCAUCCUAGGAUUGGGAGUCAAAUGGGAACGAGGCCGCUCUGGUGGAGGCCAGGUUGGAUCUGAUGAUGCAGUAGCCCCUGGGCACUCGGGGUCGCCGGGGGCGGAGAAGGAGGAGUCGGACGCAUCAUGGGCCUUAACCCCGAUGAGCCACAUCACUCUACCGUAGAACAGUACUCUGUGCCACGCCCGAUCUGCCCUCACCUCCCUCGAGGUCGACCUCAUGGCCGGUAAAGAGAGCCUUCACAUGGAGCGGGAGAUCCUCCCGGGAGGCUGGCGGCAACUGAACAUGGAGAGGUAGCUGGGUCGCCUCCAAGCCGACGCCGCUUGGAGGGAAAGCGAGGAGGCCAUAUGGAGGAACCCAAGAGCUCCUCGAUGGGGUGAUCGGGGUCACGGGAGACGACACCAGAUGUCUCGAGGAGGCGGUGUCGGGAAAGGAGGCCUUCGUGGAUCACGUUGUGGCUCACGAGGUCUAACUCAUUUCUCACAAGGGGGUGGUCGCCCGGUGCGAGAGCAGGGCGGUAGUUAUGAGAUGGACAUGGAGGUCCGGGAGCGCGAAGUCAUGUGGAUUACCAUCGAGCAGGUGAGGAAGGGAGAGCGUCUGGAGAACUUGGAUCACCGUAUCGUUGUUGGCGAGGCAUCCUACAAAGAACGCCUUGUGAAAGCCAAUACCACGCUUGAAGAGAAGUCUGCGAAGUACAAGGCAGAGUUCGACAAGUAGGCCUAGGACGAGGUUGCGUGGAAGUCCAAGAUCCUUGUCGACACCUACUCCAAGAACUUGAAGAAGCGGGAUGACCGCAUCAUGAAGAGGUGUGUGGAGCUCGAGACAGAAAUCGCAAGAAUCGAACAAUAGCUCCUGUCGUCCGAGGCUGAGCAGUGGAGCAUGAUGGAGCUCUAGGCCAGGACCCGCUGUGAGUUGGAGGAGCUCCAGGCAUAAGUGGGAGCUUUCACCGACGAGGUGGAGUGGACCGGCGAUGUCGAGAUAGAACAAUUUAUGGGACCUGCCAGGCCCCU